rfam:Oryza sativa Indica Group cultivar 93-11 Ctg037454, whole genome shotgun sequence.
GGAUGCGAUCAUACCAGCACUAAAGCACCGGAUCCCAUCAGAACUCCGAAGUUAAGCGUGCUUGGGCGAGAGUAGUACUAGGAUGGUUGACCUCCUGGGAAGUCCUCGUGUUGCAUCCC